UGGACAGUAUCUUGAGCUCACUAUCCAGAA
rnacentral:piRNA from 1 species